rnacentral:lncRNA from 1 species
UUCCUGGAGCAGGGCAGAAGUGAAACCCACACGGACUGACACAGCCACAGCGCAGUCUCCUGCAGCCAGGACUCCCAUUUCCAUCACCUGCUUUGCCGAGCCUCGGAAGUGACCUAAGUUUCAGUCCGCCAGCUCCUGACAGCUCGAAUCAAAUGUCUGCCCAAACCUGGAUGGCCCAAGGAGCUGGCAUGGCUGAGGCACAGCUUGGAGCAGCUGGAGCGAUGCGGUGAGCAUCACAUCGAGGAUUCACCGGCCUGAUUUAUGAGGUACCCCUGACAGCCCGGUGACUGGGGGAAGCACGAGUCCAAGCUGACACCAGCUCCCCAGGAAAAAAAAAAAAAAAAAAACAAACAUCGCCGUGUCCUUGUCAGUGCCAGGCCCUCACCUGACCAUCCUCCUCCCUCCAUAUCACGAGGUUUUUACACAGGCUGGAGCCAAGCAGCCGGAGCAGAGAGGACAAAAAGGAUCCUCAGGCACCAGCCACCUGGAGCCGUGCUCCUAUUUUCUCCAUAAAAUUUGGAGAAAUCCCUCUGAACACAGUUUAAACCGAGAUGCUUGGUUAAUCCCCCUGCUAAAGCACCUCAGCGCAUGCCCUGGCUUAUUUUUUACCUUAGCUUUGUAUUUUCAGCUGCUCGGGUUUCACCUCAGUCACUUGAGGCUCUGUGUGAAGGUGCGUGAGGACGGCCAGGAGCAUCCAAAUGGAGGCCCCCAGACGCGAGCGUUUCUCCCUUAACCUUCUUGCACCAUCGGGAAUAAUAAUUCCUCGCAGGGCUGUUGCACAGCUUGAUUCAUUAAGGCUUAUGAAGUGCUUUUAGCUCCUGCACUGGAAGGCUCUGUGCGAGUUAUUUUGGACUGCUCAGGUGUUAGGAGCCGAGGCACUGCAGCAGGAAUACAAAUAAAUCAAGAAGCGAAGCUGCCCCCUUCCCGCAUGCAGCCCCUGCCCCCCACUGUUCUCCAUCACUGCUGGUGUCAAACAGUUAAUUUACAAGCCCAGCACUUUACAAAGCCCCUGGAGCACCAAUUGUCCCUUUCUCAUGCAACAUCAGCUCCUCAAAAAAGCCAGCUGAGUCUCCGGGGUCACCCCGCUCCUGCCCUUCCCAAGCCCCUAUCCAAAACCACCCGAAUAUUUAUUUCAAGCAAGCCCAGUCCAGCAUCACCCCUGUACAGCAUGAUGCUGGAAGUGCUGAAAUAACUCUGGAGGAAGGGGUGGACGCAGUCAGGGCUCUGAUCUGUGCCUUCUUGGGGAGGCAAUAUUCAAUCGGCAAAGGUGACCCAGAUACUCUAACGGGGCCACAGCCUGCCCACGAGCUGCUGCAGCAAGGCAGCAUCCCCAUGCCAGAGCCAGGCAUGGACAGAGCAGCUCUCAGGCCAGCAGGACAAACCGAGAGAGCACAGGGAAAAGAAGCAGGCUUGUGGCUUGGAAAGGUAAAGGCUCUGCAAGUCUCACAUGGCUUUUUUUUUUUCCCUCCCUCCCUCUGUCUCCCUCCCCUCCUCCAGUCUGUUGCACCGGAGCUGUCGGCCAUGCUGUUCCAGUUCAGGGGCUCCUGCAACAGAAAAGAUCAGCUGUUGGAGAACCCAUGGAAAGCCCUGGGGGAGAGCCAUGGCCGCAAGAGCCAGGAAGCCAACAGAGGGAGCCCAAAGCCCUGAGCAGCGCCAGGAGCUGGGCUAAAGAAAUGCACAGAGACAUGAACCAACACCAACCCCAACACCACAAGCUCCCAGUUCCCAUCCCCUGCCACCGGACACCGCAGCUCUGCUCUUCUGAGAACCUUGCCCCAAAAAACAGCCUGGAUAUAAAAAUAGGAAAAGGGAGCAAGACAGCAGUAAGGAGAAAAAAAGGCCUGGCUAGAAAGAAAGGAUGCAACGUAGGGAGAGAGGGUAAGGGUUUAUAUUUUUAAGAUUAAACUCUUCUACAAAAGUCUUCCCUGGUCACAGAGAGAAAGACAGCAAAAUGGAAAAGAUAUUAGGUGAGAUGUAGAGGCAUACACAGACAUGUAUAUAUAAUAAUUACAAAUUGAACCCAUUUAUUUUUGCAUAUGAGUUUCUGGCUGAAAAGGAAGACUGUUUUCCCUUGUCCUCCCUCGUUAAGCACAGCUGUCUGUUUGUCUUUUUUAUGAGACAAGCCACGUUUUCCAGCAACAAGUAAAUAAAGGCACACAAUCGAAAUGCUUCCUGCCCCA